CAAACAAACAAAUGAGGGUGGUUGUCGUGGGUGAUUUCUAUUGGAGGCCGCCUCUGUUUUUCGGGUUCAUACUCGUUGUCGCUAGCUCUUAUUUGAGUUGUGGGUUGUCAAGGUGUUUAGGGUAUUUUGAGGGUGUGUGUCCUUCGAGCUGAGUGUUUUUUCCUUUUUGAUUGAUGUUUGCUCCACCGCCAAUCAUGUCGCCCGUCUUACUUAUUGUGUGUUGGAUUUUGAGUUGGAGUCUAGUGGCAUUAUGGUUUGGUUGGCUACGGUGUUUCUCUGGUGGACCGGGGGUAAGGGGUGCCCUUCUGAUUUGGUUUUGAAGUCUGGUGGGACGAUCGCUUUUGAUUCGAGAUCGGGAGUCAGUUCUUUGGUUCAAGUUUGGUUUUGGGCUUUUUUUGGUGUUGUAUCGGUGGACCAGAGAUUGCGCAGUGGUGGAAGCUGAUUGAUCUUUAGAAAAGAAGUUCUUUGGAUGUGACUCGGUGUUGGUAUUGAGGACUGGUUUCUCUCUUGCUAGGGUGUUCGUUUGUGGUGAGUAGUGGCGAUGAGUGUUAUGGAUGUCGUUUAUUUAAUGGUCGGUUAAUAUAGGAGUCAGUUUUAGGGGGUGAUGUUUAUUUUGGUGGGUGUUGUCCUUUUGGGUGUUGAUCGCAAGGGUGUCUUUGUUGGUGUUUGUUUUCGGAUGUUCCGCCUAUAUACGGAGCCUUUAGUUUGUACCUUCUGUAACACCGGUCUUUGUUUGUCUUGCGCAGAGACUUGGUUUUUAAUAAAACUUUGC
rnacentral:lncRNA from 1 species